rnacentral:rRNA from 1 species
GACGAACGCUGGCGGCGUGCUUAACACGUGCAAGUCGAACGGAAAGGCCCUGCUUUUGUGGGGUGCUCGAGUGGCGAACGGGUGAGUAACACGUGAGUAACCUGCCCUUGACUUUGGGAUAACUUCAGGAAACUGGGGCUAAUACCGGAUAGGAGCUCCUGCUGCAUGGUGGGGGUUGGAAAGUUUCGGCGGUUGGGGAUGGACUCGCGGCUUAUCAGCUUGUUGGUGGGGUAGUGGCUUACCAAGGCUUUGACGGGUAGCCGGCCUGAGAGGGUGACCGGCCACAGUGGGAGUGAGAUACGGCCCAGACCUCCGGGGGGGGGAAGAGGGGGGAAUAAGGCAAAAUGGGCGGGAGCCUGAGGGAGACACGGCGCGUGCGGGGAGGCCGCCUUCGGGGUGUAACCCGCUUUCGCCUGUGACGAAGCGUGAGUGACGGUAAUGGGUAAAGAAGCACCGGCUAACUACGUG